GGCUAAAUACUCCUGACUGACCGAUAGUGAACCAGUACCGUGAGGGAAAGGCGAAAAGAACCCCGGCGAGGGGAGUGAAAAAGAACCUGAAACCGUGUACGUACAAGCAGUGGGAGCACGCUUAGGCGUGUGACUGCGUACCUUUUGUAUAAUGGGUCAGCGACUUAUAUUCUGUAGCAAGGUUAACCGAAUAGGGGAGCCGAAGGGAAACCGAGUCUUAACUGGGCGUUAAGUUGCAGGGUAUAGACCCGAAACCCGGUGAUCUAGCCAUGGGCAGGUUGAAGGUUGGGUAACACUAACUGGAGGACCGAACCGACUAAUGUUGAAAAAUUAGCGGAUGACUUGUGGCUGGGGGUGAAAGGCCAAUCAAACCGGGAGAUAGCUGGUUCUCCCCGAAAGCUAUUUAGGUAGCGCCUCGUGAAUUCAUCUCCGGGGGUAGAGCACUGUUUCGGCAAGGGGGUCAUCCCGACUUACCAACCCGAUGCAAACUGCGAAUACCGGAGAAUGUUAUCACGGGAGACACACGGCGGGUGCUAACGUCCGUCGUGAAGAGGGAAACAACCCAGACCGCCAGCUAAGGUCCCAAAGUCAUGGUUAAGUGGGAAACGAUGUGGGAAGGCCCAGACAGCCAGGAUGUUGGCUUAGAAGCAGCCAUCAUUUAAAGAAAGCGUAAUAGCUCACUGGUCGAGUCGGCCUGCGCGGAAGAUGUAACGGGGCUAAACCAUGCAC
rnacentral:rRNA from 1 species